GACUAGAGUCAUUUACAUAAUAUAAUCAAAGUACACAGAAUAGAAACGUAGCCAACGUAAAUAAACCCACCACAGGCAGCUGACUGGGGGUGGUCGCUAGCCUAAUCCUCGAACUUGUCGAAGUCCUGGAACUCCUGGAGAUCCGCCUCGACGCCUUCUUCUUUACUUGAGCAUAGAUUGCACCAAAGGCAACCUGGUGUUUUGUGAAAGCAAGGGUGAGUACACAUCAACGUACUCAGCAAAUGUCCUGUUUGGCUGAGGUGGACUAGCUUUAUGUGGGGUUAAGGUCAAAGCAGAUUGCUUUUAGUUGGUCAGGUAUUUAUUAUUAGUGGAAGCCAAGUUUUAUCAUAUAACCAACCCGUGAACCAUUUCCUCAUCGAGGAAGCCUCGUUAUCAUCAUCAAACCGAAAUAAUAAAAAGAACCAUUGUAUCUCGAACCAUCUGUAUCUCUAAUCAAAGAGGAUCCCAAGGCCGCUCAUAACCGUGAGCACGGCUGAUAUAUCAGUUUCAUUACCCUCUGCAGAGGUCGCACACUUUACCCAUGAGCCGUGAUUCCCAGUUUGCCCGGGGAUCAUGACUCCCCAUUGAUCACUUCCUAGGUGGUCCGGCAGGGUAUCACUACGUAGCUUUUACAAAGAUUCCCUAGAGGUCAUAGCCGCCCGUUAGGUUUCUCCAGUUUGAUAAACACAGUACCUCUCCCCGCAGGAGAGUGACUAACAAAAGCAAAACGAAAGAACCUCGGCACCCAGCCUCGGCAGAGCAAGCACUGUGCCUGGACCCCAUUGACGGCACGACGGCGAAGCAACUACACCUCUAGUUCCUCUAAUUAAUUAGCUAAGGGCGUCCCAUUUCACCCUCAUGGUUGCACUGUUAUCCCGGGUGGUCUCUCAACGAACAGGUCCUUACGGAGAGGUACUCGGGAAACAGCCCGAGUCCCCUAAAUGCCACAAGUAUAUCAUCAUAUCCAGAAUAAAAUCAUAGUAUCAUCAUUGUAUCUCAUCAUGUUCAUUGAUUAAAGUAAAGCGCUAGCAUGUAGCUAACCAUAGUAACCCAAAAGGUAAAACAAGGACCAGGUAAAUAGAAAACUAGUAAAUCCUUAGGUUGUUCAUAGUAUGCGGGACAGUGUAUUAUAAAGUAAAUGGGACAUAAUGGGUCAGAGGACACUUGCCUUCACCAAACAGAUGCUCAGGGUAUUCAUUCUCGUAGAACUCGAAGAGUUCAAUCUCUUGGUCGCCGAAGCUUGACUGUCGAUUCCUCGAAGCUCGAAAAUGGAUCACGGACUAUUCGCGGCGCGAAGCGAAGACAAACAAGCACAAGCAAACAAACAUAUAUAUAUAUGCAUAAGAACAUUACACCAUUCAAAGAUAAACAUAAUAAAAUACGCAAAACGAAAUAGAGCGCGUUACUACGGUCACACGAGGAAAAAGAGGUGCGACAGUCGAAGUUACAGUCGAGAAGUUAUCGCGUUUACGUUGAACAGGUAUAACUAUAACCUUUAAUUUGACAUUAUCAAAUAUAAAUAAUACUUACCAUUUAGCUUCGAUUAACAUGUUACACUAGCAGCUAUCAGUUAAACCAGUAAUUUAAUUAACACGAGAGAUUCUAAGUAAGGCGAAAUUAUGACACGCGAAACAGCACGACAGAGUACGGAACGACAUGCGGACACGCGCGACAUAGCAUGCUGACGACACAUGAAGCAUUGUGCAGAACUAGCGUGAACGACGCGCGAACCAACACGCGCGACAGGCGAGACAAAUUAAAUAGGUGACGCGUUUGUACUAAACAAAUAUUAAAUAAAUAAAAAGUAGUUAACUUAAUAUUUGUCAUAUCAAUGUUUACUAUAAACGCGCAAGUUGAACACUACAUAUUUAAUCUAAUUGGGAUAUUAAUCUAAUAAAUAUUAGUCGAGCAAAAUUAAGUUAAUUAUCUAAAAUAUGUAACCUCACGAAUUAACAUUAUUAACAUGAGCAUUUAUAAGCAACAACAAUUUAUUAUCACGCAGACGUCGCGGGACAUACGAACCAGACGCGCGGCAUGAACUCGCGAAGGAAGUGACGACGACGCGCGAACAGCGCGCGAAUGACACGCGAACAGGCGCGCGAUAACGUGUGAGCAAUGCGAUAGUGCGCGAACAAUGCGCGACGACGAGCGGACACACGCGACUUAGCGCGCGGACCACGCGCGGCUACGCAUGCGAUCCUCACGCGUGACACGUGCGGGCAACGCGUACGAAACAGCACGCGCGACAGCACGCAUGACACACGCGAAUGACGCGCGACAAUACGCAAACAGCGUGCGCAACACGCGAAGAUCACUAACAAAUAUCUUGUUUAUACUAAAUAAGUAUUGAAUCCAAAUAUCUAAGUCGGUAAUAAUUAAGUUAGCAUUUAUUUAUACAAGCGCGAGUUAAAACGGUAAAUUAGCUUCAAUGGAAAAACUAAUAUUAAAACCUUAGCUAAAUAAAUAUUUAAUUAAUGAGAUGAUAAUUUUAACGCAUAGACACCGUUAAUAUAAACAUAACGCAACUGAAACAGAAUCAAUCGAACGUCUACCGCAAAAUAUAUCGUAUAUUUAGUAUUUCGCGCACCAACGACGACGUGGUGUGUUUUCGUUGGUUGUGAAAUCGGUCGCACGGAUGGCCACAAAUACCACAAGCGCAGAAGAUCUGUAGAGGAAUGUGUGGGGGCAGUUUUCAGAUGUUGACCGCAUGUAGAUUUUGCAGCCGGACUCUUCACGCAGUCACGCAUGCAUGUGGAGCCCACAUGCGGUUUUGCCUCCAACGCACAUGGGAGUUGGCAUGCAGCAAGCAGGACCCACGCGCGGCUUGCUUUUCCUGGGAACGACUGAGCAGUUGCAUCUCCAAUGCAUGCAGGGAAUUGAUCAGGCACGACGGCGCGGCGGCUCACCAGCCUGGACGAUGGCGCGCUCGCCGGGAUUGGGCACGCAACAGGCGCUCUGGGCUGGGAAGGGAGCGAGGGGUGGCUCGGCCACCAUGCUAGCUUGACCAUGGCCAACGCGAGGGAGGUGCAGGGGCCGCAGGGCUAGCCGGGACGGCUCGCCAGCGGCCGGCCUCCGCGUAGCUAGGCACUUAGUGCUGGCCGGGGCUGGGCUCGGCUCUGCGCAAGGGUGCUUCGGCGCGCCAAAGGUGUAGUGCACGCGGGCUAGAGAGGAGCGACGCCGGCCAGCGGUAGGACUGCUACGGCGAGGCUGGCGGCAUAGCAGCAUCGCUCGCGUAAUGAAGAACUGUAUACAGAAAAGACAGAGAGAGGAGGGAUUACCGGAGACAAAGAAGAUGACCGGAGCAAGGCUGCGCCGGUGACGAGGGAACGACGAACAGGAGUUCUCCGACGCGCGGUGCAGUGGUUCCCUUGUGGUAGUUGCAUGACGAGAUGGGAACAAGGAGCAGAGGAAUGGGUAACUAUGCUGUGUGGGGAUAGGGGUUUUGGCGACGGGAAAAAUAGAAGAAAUAACAUCUACGCCUAUAUAGAGAGGAUGGAUGGGGUCAGACAGUUGCGCGGACCAUUGCGCGACGAGGCAACGUGAAACGAGUUGGUUGCGACUGCGUUCGUGUCGCACACAUGUGUGAACCAAAUGGCCAUUGCAACAACAACGAAUGCACGCGGUCAGAGGUAGACGGGGUUAGACGAGGAUAGCCGACGCGAACAGCAUGCCGUUCGCGAGAAGCGGUUCAGUGAUCUCACGAAAAAGGGCACGAGAUCUAGAACAGGCUCGACGAGAGGAAAAUAUAUAUACAUAUGUUAUCGAGUAUCCAAAAUUUUAUAGUUUUCGCAAAUACUAAAUUUUCGACAGUUUAAUUAAUAUUAGAAAAACUAAAAUUCAUAUUUAAUACUCGAAGAAACGUUCCGAAGAUUCCAAAAAUUCUUAGGAACAUCCUCGAGAUAUUUUAAUCUGUUGUGAUAAUAUUUUGCACUCAUAAAUACUAUGCAUCGGCAUGAAUGCAACAAUCAAAGUCCCUCUAAGAUUUUAUUUUACUAGGCUUAUAAAUAGAUAUAAAAAAAUAACUCUUCUAUUUAGGAAAAAGAAAAUAAAAGCAAGGAAAAGAGAGGCUAACACUUGAAUUUGGUGAAUAUUAGAAAAUAAAUUUUAUACCCCUAAAUUCAGGGUGUUACAAAUCUAACCCCCUUAACAGAAUCUCGCCCCCGAGAUUCAAGAAGAUGCUAGCCAGAACGAAAAGGUUGGUUCAUGGGUGGUUCACGACUUUUUUUUAGUUAACUUUGACUCUGCUAGCUUAACUUGCGGACUGGUUUUUUUGACCUUUAGAUGCUUGAGACCGAUCGAUGCAAUUCUUGAGGAUCUCUUGGACCUGUGGGUUAGGACCCACACACGCUUUCGCUGCGCCACUUCAAUCUUGUUGGUUGAUGUUGAUCGCAUUGUCGUCAUUGGGGUUAGCGGCUAACCCCCUUAACAGGAGCGUUGAUAUGCACUUGGUGAAGAUGCUGUCGACUCUGAUCUUGAUUGACUAAGAGGAGUUGGAGGUUGCUAACUGCAUAGGUGCAAGAGGAAAGAAUAUAGGUAGAAAAGGUAAGCAUAGAUGGAUUAAAGAGAGAAACAGGAGAGCACCCAACUACCUAACUCUAUGGCACUCAUCUAGUAAACUGAUGUCAUUGCGGACCAAGGGCCACAACACAUCAACACUAAUCACAAAGAAGCAAAUCAGUCAUCACACAAAGACAAACAACACAAGCAUACAACAACAAACAUCUCGUUGCUAUACGUAACUUUAAAUUAAAUGGUGGUAUUUCUUGAAAUGGGAAUAGCUACUCUCUGAGGUUGUUGAAGGACAAGGAGAAGAAUAAGACGUGCAGUAUAUGGAUGCAAUAAAAAUAAGGGGUGGAGUUAAAGCAAGGAUUGUAGUCUACAAGGGAGAAAAUGCAAUUAAGGACAGGGUAGGAAAACUCCAUUCUCGAAUAGAGAUGGGAAAGAUGAUAAUUCAAAGGUAGGCAUAAGAUAAGCAUCGUGGGAAGAUCUAGUGACCACAAAGGUAGAGGAUGUAACAGGCAAAAGCACACCAAAAGAUCGAGUUAAGACAAGACUUUCAACACGACAGAGGAAUAGGGAACGAACAAGAGCGGGGAAGGAUAAGACAACACUUUUGAACUAAAAUGGGAGAGGAAGCUUUAAAAUGUGGGUACAUGGUAAGCCUCGAGGUAAAGAUCGAGGGAUGACAAGGGUUAAGGUGAUAACAGACAAACACAACCAAGGAUGUACUUUAGACAAAAUUUGUGAGGCAUCAAAGAAGGAGAAGCAAUCAAUGGUGAAGUAGGUGAGGCAUUAUCCUCAAACAGCGAUGAAAAAGAGGAGGCUUUAAAGGGUAGGUUCAAGAUAAGCAUGUGGGCAAGGGCAUAGGUAUCACGAGGGUUUAAAGGUAAUAAUGGACAAGGAUGUAGAAGAGGAGGUAAAUGGGUAUAAGAACCAAGGAUAUAAAUACCACAGAGGGUGGAGUUAAGACAUGACAUGCAAGUGAAAAAAGAGGGUACGUCCAAGGGCCAGAUAGGUAAACUGCCACUCUCAAUUUGAGGUGGAAGAGCAGAGAUUUUUUUUGAGUAUGAAUAAAGAUGAGUAUCAAGGCAAGAUCGAUGGAUGACAAGGUGAUGGUGAUAGAAAAUCAAAACACAGCAAAUGAUGGAAUUAAGACAACACUUGUAAGGUGAUCAGAAGUGAAAAGAAAUCAAGGGAACUCGCAACUCUCAAGCUGGGUUGAAAGAAAGGGGAGACUUUUAAAGGAUAAGUUCAAGGUAAGCGUUUAGGUAGAAGACGUCAAUAUUCCAAGGGACAAAGGUGAUAACAUACAAGGUUAUGACAGAAAAGAUGAAAGCAUUGAAGAGCUAGCGGUAUGAGUACAACGAAGAAUGGAGUCACGUCCAAGCUUACACGCGAUAAAGAAGAGGAUAUAGCCAAGGGUGGAGUAAGUAAAACACCGCUUUCAAAUUGGAAUAUGAAGUUGGAGAUUUUAGACAAUAGACAUAACGUAAUCACCAAGGUAAGAUCGAGGGAUGAGAAAGGUAAAGGUAAUAGCAAACAAAAGUGGGCAAAGGAUGGAGUUAAGGCAAGACUCACGAAAUGGCGAAAUGGAGAACACAAUCAAGGGUAAGAUAUGUAAGGUUGCAACAGAACGGUUGGCUAAAAUUCAUUACCGAGGGAUGUUACAAGGGAACAACGAGAUCACCAAGGAUGUGCAAAAUAAAAUGACCGCUCAUGGAUCAUUGAGAAACAAGGGUGGUCAAGGGCAUGUUAACUGAAAUGUAUCAAACAGAUAUUGAGAUAUAAAGGUAGGCAUAUAUAAAAAUAAGAGUAUGCAAGGUUCCGAGGAUACGAGCAUACCAAAACCAAGAGAGCACAAAUUGCCGAAAGAUGACAACUUAACAUCAGAAUAGGAAAGGGUCUCAAAAGAUAGUAAGAUCAUGGAAUAUAAACUGAAAUGUUUAAAUAGGCAGCAGAGUUUUUAUUACUGGUAGGUAAUGAAACAAGAGUAUUAAAGAAUCCAGGGAUACGAGCAUGUCAAUACCAGGGGAAUAAAGAUUGCCAAAUGGUAGCAAUUUAAUAUGGAAGAGGAAAGAAUCCCAAAAGACUAAAGGCUAUGGUCAGGGGUCAUCUACAAAGAUAUCGUAAGCACAAGAGUGAGAUAAGAUCUAAAAGAAUGAAUGAGUAACACAUAGACAAUACUAGAAUAAAAAUACAUUUAGCAAGGUGAUAUAUAGAAGCAUAACGUAGAAUUAGUCGAGGUGACUAAUAUUUUGAAGCAGAAUCAAGGAUGGGGUGAAGUAAUAAUCAAUAAGUCCUUAAAACGGCCAAUGCUACUCUAGGCUAGCGGUCCUACAGUCAGCACGGCUUUGAUACCACUUAUGUCACACCCGGUUUUGGAAGGUAAACCGAAUGCGAACCAUGUACGUGCCAGGAUCAGAAAUUCACGUACACGGCGAUUACAUAAAUGACUCAUCAUAGCACAAUGCUUCGAAUAACAAUAAAGAGUAAGUAAUAAUAUAAAGACUAGAGUCAUUUACAUAAUAUAAUCAAAGUACACAGAAUAGAAACGUAGCCAACGUAAAUAAACCCACCACAGGCAGCUGACUGGGGGUGGUCGCUAGCCUAAUCCUCGAACUUGUCGAAGUCCUGGAACUCCUGGAGAUCCGCCUCGACGCCUUCUUCUUUACUUGAGCAUAGAUUGCACCAAAGGCAACCUGGUGUUUUGUGAAAGCAAGGGUGAGUACACAUCAACGUACUCAGCAAAUGUCCUGUUUGGCUGAGGUGGACUAGCUUUAUGUGGGGUUAAGGUCAAAGCAGAUUGCUUUUAGUUGGUCAGGUAUUUAUUAUUAGUGGAAGCCAAGUUUUAUCAUAUAACCAACCCGUGAACCAUUUCCUCAUCGAGGAAGCCUCGUUAUCAUCAUCAAACCGAAAUAAUAAAAAGAACCAUUGUAUCUCGAAC
rnacentral:lncRNA from 1 species